CAAAUUAGAGCUUGUAAAAGUAUUUCAUUUACAUUGAAAUGAUAUUAAAAUUUUAAUUAAUUUGA
rnacentral:tRNA from 1 species